rnacentral:rRNA from 1 species
GGGCUCACACAAGCGGUGGAGCAUGUGGCUUAAUUCGAGGCAACGCGAAGAACCUUAUCCUGGGUUUGACAUGUACGGAUGGCUCGCCUGAAAGGGAUGAGUCUGCCUUCGGGUGAAACGUACACAGGUGCUGCAUGGCUGUCGUCAGCUCGUGUCGUGAGAUGUAGGGUUAAGUCCUUAAACGAGCGCAACCCUUGUCCUUAGUUGCCAGCGGGUCAUGCCGGGGACUCUAGGGAGACCGCCGGUGUUAAACCGGAGGAAGGUGUGGAUGACGUCAAGUCAUCAUGCCCCUUACAUCCUGGGCUACACACGUACUACAAUGCUACGGACAAAGGGCUGCAAGUUCGCGAGGACAAGCAAAUCCCAUAAACCGUGGCUCAGUUCAGAUCGUAGGCUGCAACUCGCCUACGUGAAGGCGGAAUCGCUAGUAAUCGCAGGU